rnacentral:rRNA from 1 species
UCAAGCGAACAAGGGCGCAGGGCGAAUGCCUUGGCACUGGGAGCCGAUGAAAGACGUGAUAAGCUGCGAUAAGCUUCGGGGAGCUGCAAAUAAGCAUUGAUCCGGAGAUUUCUGAAUGAGGAAACUCACCUGGGUUCAUACUCAGGUACGUUAUACUGAACUUAAAAAUAGGUAUAUCGAGGGAACCGCCUGAACUGAAACAUCUAAGUAGGGCGAGGAAGAGACAUCAAACGAGAUUCCGUAAGUAGUGGCGAGCGAACGCGGAAGAGGGCAAACCGAGAGUAGAAAUACUUUCGGGGUACGGACUGCUUUUAAGACUCAAUCUGUUAACCGAACGGCAUGGGAAGGCCGGUCAGAGAGUGUGAGAACCACGUAGGUGAAAACGGAGAGAGCUGCGCAGGAUCCAGAGUACGGCCAGACACGUGAAACCUGGUCGGAAUACGGGGGGACCACCCUCCAACCCUAAAUACUACCCAGUGACCGAUAGCGUAUAGUACUGUGAAGGAAAGGUGAAAAGCACCCCGGGAGGGGAGUGAAAAAGAACCUGAAACCCUGUGCCUACAAGCACCUAGAGCACGUCAAUGUGUGAUAGGGUACUUUUUGUAGAACGGUCCGGCGAGCGAUUGUAUGCAGCAAGGUUAAGGACUUAAGGUCUGGAGCCGAAGCGAAAGCGAGUUUGAAAAGGGCGUUAAGUUGCAUACAAUGGGCCCGAAACCGGGUGACCUACCCAUGGUCAGGUUGAAGUGGAAGUAAAAUUCCAUGGAGGACCGAACCGACCUCCGUUGAAAAGGCGGCGGAUGAACUGUGGGUAGCGGAGAAAUUCCAAUCGAACCCGGAGAUAGCUGGUUCUCCCCGAAAUAGUUUUAGGACUAGCCUCAAGUUAGAUACCUGGAGGUAAAGCACUGAAUAGCCUAGCGGCCGAGAGGUUAGCGAAGCUUAUCAAACUCAGAAUGCCAGAGUAUUGAUGCUUGGGAGUCAGACAGUGUCAGAUAAAUGUCAUUGUCAAAAGGGAAACAGCCCAGAUCUACAGCUAAGGUCCCAAAGUCAGGUUAAGUGGAAAACGAUGUGAAGAUACGCAGACAACCAGGAUGUUGGCUCAGAAGCAGCCACUCAUUCAAAGAGUGCGUAAUAGCUCACUGGUCGAGCGUCUUUGCGCGGAGAAUUUAACGGGGCUAAACCUGACACCGAAGCUUAGGCAAUACAGCAAUGUAUUGGGUAGGGGAGCGUUGUAUACGCGGUGAAACAGUAGCGCAAGCGGCUGUGGAGUGUAUAGAAGUGAGAAUGCCGGAAUGAGUAGCGCGAAUGCAGUGAGAAUCUGCAUGGCCGAAAGCCUCAGGUUUCUGGAGGAAGGUUCGUCCGCUCCAGGUUAGUCGGGAGCUAAGGUGAGGCCGGAAGGCGUAGCCGAUGCACAGACGGUAGAGAUUCCGUCACCACCAAAAGAGUUAAGCACAGGGACACAUAUGAAGUCUCAGAGCCGGGUGUUGGUUCCGGUAGAGAUCGAGGGAAAUUAGUACCGAAGUCUGAGAUGGAAGAUGGCGAGAAAAGCUGUGUGUAUUUCUGAGGUGCCCGUACCGCAAACCGACACAGGUAGGUAGGAAGAAGAUUCUAAGGCCAACGGGAGAAGGGUUGUUAAGGAACUCGGCAAAUUGACCCCGUAACUUCGGGAGAAGGGGUGCUCCAGAGAUGGAGCCGCAGAGAAUCGGCCCAAGCAACUGUUUACCAAAAACACAGGUUUGUGCUAAAUCGAAAGAUGACGUAUACGAGCUGACGCCUGCCCGGUGCUGGAAGGUUAAGAGGAGAUGUGCAAGCAUUGAAUCGAAGCCCCAGUGAACGGCGGCCGUAACUAUAACGGUCCUAAGGUAGCGAAAUUCCUUGUCAGGUAAGUUCUGACCCGCAUGAAAGGCGUAAUGAUUUGGGCACUGUCUCAACAGCCCGCCCGGCGAAAUUGUAGUACCGGUGAAGAUGCCGGUUACCCGCGACAAGACGGAAAGACCCCAUGGAGCUUUACUGUAGCCUAAUAUUGGGUUUCGAUGUUGCAUGCACAGGAUAGAUGGGACACAGGGAAACAAGUGCUUUGGCAUUUGUGGAGUGGCCGUUGGGAUACCAUCCUUGCGAUAUUGGAAUUCUAACCUGCGGCUCUGAAUCGAGUCGGGGGACAUUGUUAGGUGGGCAGUUUGACUGGGGCGGUCGCCUCCUAAAGAGUAACGGAGGCGUUCAAAGGUUCGCUCAGCUUGAACGGAAAUCAAGCAAAAGAGUGCAAACGCAGAAGCGAGCCUAACUGCGAGACUGACGGGUCGAGCAGUAACGAAAGUUGGAGUUAGUGAUCCGGUGGUAUGUGAGUGGAAAUGCCAUCGCUCAACGGAUAAAAGUUACCCUGGGGAUAACAGGCUGAUCUCCCCCAAGAGUCCACAUCGACGGGGAGGUUUGGCACCUCGAUGUCGGCUCAUCACAUCCUGGGGCUGUAUUCGGUCCCAAGGGUUCGGCUGUUCGCCGAUUAAAGUGGUACGCGAGCUGGGUUCAGAACGUCGCGAGACAGUUCGGUCCCUAUCUGUCGUGGGCGCAGGAUAUUUGAGGAGCUCUGUCCUUAGUACGAGAGGACCGGGAUGGACGUACCUCUGGUGCACCAGUUGUCAUGCCAAUGGCACGGCUGGGCAGCUACGUACGGAACGGAUAAACGCUGAAAGCAUCUAAGCGUGAAGCCGACUCCAAGAUUAGAUAUCCCAUUGCAUAAGCAAGUAAGACCCCUUGAGGACUACGAGGUUGAUAGGCUGCGUGUGUAAGUGUCGUGAGGCAUUUAGCUUGGCAGUACUAAUAGGUCGAGGGCUUGACCAC